CCUCUGAUUAAUCACCUGAGGUGAGCCAUGAGUCAGCCAGAGGAGCACAGGUGAAGGCAAUUCACCUGUGCUGCCGGAAGGGGUGGAGCCAGGCUCCAUCCCUCCUGGACCUAUUUAAGAGCUGGCUACCAGAGGGGAAGGAUCUCUUCUGGAGAUCCCCUCUUUUGGUAUCUUCUAGUGAGCUCAACCCAAGGUGAUGACUACCAGCAUCUGUACCUUCAGUGUUAAUAGUUCAUAGACUGCUAAAGUCCAUAGAACAAGCAAAGGAAAUGCAUCUGCCUGAAAAUUUGAAGUUCCUCAGAACAUCCCAGGAAUAAUCCUCUGAAAAUUGACUGCUCACCAGAAGGGAGAGUAGAAACUAGGGCCAAGUGUGGGAGAGCCAAGAUCUAGGAGAAGUGAGCAGACAACACCAGCAGCCAAUAAAGACAGCAAUGCCAGGAGUGUUAUUUCCAGUCUAGUCAUGACUUUUAAAUCCCUUCAAAAAAAAUCCUCCUCAUCCACGCUAGUGGUUCUGGACAGCCUCUACAUUAAUCACUUGCAGGAAAACAAGUCAACACUGUGCUUGGGCAAGCAAAAAGCUCAUGAAACUUCAUGUAAAAUUUAAAAGUGAGCUCUGCGUAGCAUUUAGAAUCCAAAUACGAUGGAAAGAAAGCACUGGUUCAACAAUAGAGCAUCUGCAACCACUUCCAGCGAAGAUGGAAGAUAAGCUGGUGCUAGAGGAAUGCUCAGGAGGAGCCUUUGUGCGUGAUAGAUGCCUUCAGCAUUCCAGCUUCCUGACUAUUGUCAUCAUUUGGUAGAAGGAAAAACACUGCUGAGACUAAGAUAUUUUUAAUAUACUCACACACAAAUAUUUAUUGGCUCACAGAAUAGUUAUCUAAUUGUCUCCCAUCCAGUUUCUAAGCAAGAUUCAAAUUUGUCAACAAUUUAGGAUCACUUACAGUAUUAUCUUGGUUCGUGCUGACUUCUAGAUGAUGCUGGACAAGACAAGCAUUUUUCAGAAUCACACAAAUCAACAUUUUAAAUAGUGAAUAGUGAAGGAAAAAAGAAUCCUGCUAGAUGAAAAGAUUGUGGCCGUUUUGCUGAAUCUGAACUUUGAAUGUAAUUUACUUCGAAAUGGAUUAAUUCUCAAGUUCUACCUUUUCCCACAAUAUGAGUGCACUAUGUACAGCAAGUUUUACUGUAUUUCAUAUGCUGGUUAACACUGAAGGUUUCUUCUAUCAUUUGUCUAAAAUAAUGUACAUCUUUUCCACUACAUUCCUGUAUUGUCUGUAUACACUUGAGACUGUUUUCCUUGGAUGUUUUUUGUUUUUAGGAUCCUUAACUUAAUAUCAUGUCCACGUCAGGCUUAUUCAAAUCUGCUGUCCUUGUUACAUGAAGAACUGAUUUUAUUGUCAUAGCAAAAUACCAUAACAAAAUCCAUAUCAGUUGAUGAUCCUUGGGUUUCUAUAAUAGUGGUAACGAUCCUUAAAACAUUCAUCACCCACUGUUAGAAAUGACAAAUUUUUACUUCAUUAUAUAAUUGGUUCUUUUUUUUGUGUGUGUAUUAUGUUUUGCUUUUCCCAUCUGUUAAGUUUCCAUGAAGUUGCAACACAGUUUUGGCACAAACUAAGUAAUUUCCAUCACAUUGUAUUCAUCUCUUCUCGUGUUUUGGUCAAACAUCUGGAAUCGUUCUGCAUCUCUCAGUAGAGCAAACAUUGCCCAAAUCUUAAUCCACAGAAGAGCAGAGAAACUUGACACUAGGCGAUGCUUUGACUCAUGUACUAGGUUCUGCAACUUCAUAAUCAAGUAUAUUAAUUUCCCACCAUAAUUCAAGCCUACUCCAAUUCAAUACUGUCAAAUUACAUGUACAGAACACUUCUAAUAAUUAUAGCCCAAUAUAUAUCAGAAAGUAGGAGAAUAAUGAAACAAUACACUGUAAAUAUGUGUGCAAUUCCAAAAAUUUCAGAGCAUUUUUUGGACUGCUUUAAGAAACUGCAUAUGGCUUGGAGAAUCCACCUCUUUUCUCUUGCAUAUUGCCAAGAUUUCUUAGUAAGACAUCUUCAGACAGAAGACCGCCAGCUUUGCUUAUCUGAAUAGUUGAAGAGAGGCAACGACCAUCUCUACAGCAAAAAGCCUCUUUGCUCAAGGAGCAACACUGUUCAUUCCCUACCAUGAUAGCUGCCAGAAACAUUGCUCGCACUGCAAGGAAAGUGGCAGUCAAGCUCUCAUGUGCCAUCAUUGCUCCUCCUUUUUCCCAUACUAUCUUAACCACUCUGCUAAAUGAAGCCAUAUAGUAGUCCCAUUAUAAGCAAUAUUUCCAAGUAAACAGACUGCAAAGGAAACUCACUUGAGAUCCCUGUAGUUAACUAUUGCUCAGGCAUCAAAGGUGCGGCGCUAUUUGCAGGUCCACCUGCCUGUGCAAUUUUCACUUAGUUUAUGCCAGUGCCUGUCAAAUAGUUGACAUCUCCCGUUCCCAUAUCAUUUCCCUAAAUAUUUACUAGGCAUAACAAGAUAACAGAUUUUUAAAAGGUCAGUGAUCCAAGAAAACUAAUUUGAGUAAAUGGAAGGAAGUCUGUACAAGAUUCACAAAGAAAGCAAACAUCAUACUGGAAUAAUGAAAUGCCUAGAUUUGCUGUGUCAAUUAAGUAAAAUUAAAUGCAUGUUCCUACAUUGCAAGCACAUGGACAAGAUUGACUCAAAACAACCUAAAUAUUACCCAGGUGCAAAAGCGAUGUCUCUAGCUAGAUUUUGGCUGGUUCCAUUGACAGCAUCCCAAAUAAAGGAUUCCUUUUAUUUCUCAAAAAUUGAGCUCUUUUACACUGAAUGUGAAACUAUGAUGACCUCCACAGAAGAAUACAUACAACCAAAGUAAAAUCUACACAGUACUUAAAAUAAGAAGACCAAAAGAACGAAACCUGCGUAAGCUGAAUCAUGAACACCUGCUCUGAUCUGAACCCGAAAUAACUAAACUCCUUCUGCAUGUUUUUUGAACAAGGUGCAGCCAAAAAGGUAUUCUCAUUUAAAAGCUAACUGUAUUGUGUGAAUACAAAAAAAAAACAA